rnacentral:tRNA from 1 species
GGAGGGAUCGCAUAGAGGUCUAGUGCGGCCGCCUGCUAAGCGGUUGCUCCGAGUAAUCGGGGUCGCGGGUUCGAAUCCCGCUCCCUCCGCCA